ACGGAGGAUGCAAGCGUUAUCCGGAAUCAUUGGGUUUAAAGGGUCCGUAGGCGGAUAAUUAAGUCAGGGGUGAAAGUCUGCAGCUCAACUGCAGGACUGCCCUUGAUACUGGUUAUCUUGAAUCGUUGUGAAGUGGCUAGAAUAUGUAGUGUAGCGGUGAAAUGCAUAGAUAUUACAUAGAAUACCGAUUGCGAAGGCAGGUCACUAACAACGUAUUGACGCUAAGGGACGAAAGCGUGGGGAGCGAACAGG
rnacentral:rRNA from 1 species